rnacentral:tRNA from 1 species
UCCCUGGUGGCUCAGAUGGUAAAGAAUCUGUCUGUAAUGCAGGAGACUCAGGUUUGAUUCCUGGGUUGGGAA